CUUGUGGGCACCCAUGGAAUCUGCUGGGUGGGCACCUGCUUAGUGGCUCCAGAACUCCUGGGCAUUUGGGAGCCUGGGAUAGCCUGGAGUUGGGAGUGGCCUGGAGGAAGGGGCUUCAAUUUCCUGCUCUGAAAAAGGGAAGAACAGCAGACUUUGGUCUGUAAAUCUUUCUUCCAUAUGUAGUUGAAGGCGAGCAUACCUGUCUUAGGGACAGUGAAAUCCCAGAGGCUCCUGAUCAUUCCUCUCCUGACUUUGCUUUGUUUCAGGUGAGUUUCCAAGACCCUUAUGAGUCCUGUGGUGUCUAGGAUAGUGCUGCUUUCUAAUGGCCAGGGUGUAAGUGGAGGGAUCUAGAUACUGUCAUAUCCUGUUUCCUAGAGCCUGACAUGUAGUGGGUGCCCAGUAAAUGUUCAUGGCUGCAUGAUGGACUGGCUCCAGUUAGCCUCUGGAUGAGGGCUGGUAGAGCAGUGCUGGUGGAAUUCUAGAAAGCAGGGAAGCUGGGGCCUGCCGUAGUGCCUCAUCCUUGGAAAGAGGGGAGCCACCAAAGGCCAGGGAAGAAAAGCAGAGUUGGAGAAUGGGACUGAGCAAACACAUUAACAGUGUUCUGAGGACAGUGAUUGUACCAAUUCUGCUGUCAGCUGAGCUCUGGGUUUCUCUCCUAAGUAGACAGUGAGAGAAGCACCUGUCUUAUCCCAGAAACAGAAGCCAGGCCUACUCUAGAAUAAUUUAAUAUUUCUCUUUUCUAGUUUCCCAUCCUCUGCCAUUUACUUCUAGGAAAGUCCUACUCUCCAGAUUUUCUGUAAAUGCUGCCCACCCCCACUGCCUCUGCCUGAUGACGUCCUCUGGGUGCUUGUGUGAGAAUCAUGCAGUGACCACAUCAUCACCCACAGCUGAUGACUCAGAGUGGACCACCUAUUCAGCCCAGAGCAGGAACCCAAGCCUAUGAAGUGAAUUGUAGGAUGUGGUAUCAGCCAGUAGAGGUACU
rnacentral:lncRNA from 1 species